GUCAACUGACUCCAUGUAGAAGUUAUUUCCAAUGAAUGGUGAUUUUUAUCCAUAUUUUGCAUUUUUGUUCUAGUUCAGUGAUAAUGAACGCCAUACUAAUUUCCAAAUUGUACACAAGAAACUAAAAUUAAAAUAAUACAAGACUAACAAAGGCCAGAGGCUCCUGACUUGGGACAGGCGCAAAAAUGCGGCGGGGUUAAACAUGUUUGUGAGAUCUCAACCAUCCCCCUAUACCUCUAGCCAAUGUAGAAAAGUAAACGCAUAACAAUACGCACAUUAAAAUUCAGUUGAAGAGAAGUCCGAGUCUGAUGUCAGAAGAUGUAACCAAAAAAAAAAAAAAAAAAAAAUGACAAUAAUACAUAAAUAACAACAGGCUACUAGCAGUUAACUGACAUGCCAGCUCCAGACUUCAAUUAAACUGACUGAAAGAUUAUGAUUUCAUCAUAUGAACAUCAGGCAC
rnacentral:lncRNA from 1 species